rnacentral:rRNA from 1 species
UGUAUUAGCUAAUAAUUAAUGCAGCAUCGACUCUGUCUAGCUAAAAAUUUGGAUAGAAUUUUAUAAUGACAUUUUCUAUCCAUGUGUCUUGACCAAAUUACGUGCCAGCAGUCGCGGUAAUACGUAAAAGACUAGUGUUAUUCAUCUUUAAUGGGUUUAAAGGGUACUUAGACGGUAUAUUCAGCCCAAAUAUUUUGAAAGGGUACUGAUUAAACUAGAGUUUUAUGCGAGGGGGUGUGUACUAGUGGAGUAGAGAUGAAAUUCUGUCAUACCAUUAUGAACAGGCAACGGCGAAAGCAACCCUUUAUGUAAAAACUGACGUUGAAGGACGAAGGCUCAGUACACCAACAGGAUUAGAUACCCCAGCAGUCUGAGCAGACAAUGAUGAGUGUCAUAGGUAAGAAAGAAAAAAAAAAAUAAAAAAUGAACAUUUUUUUAUUCAUUUUUUUUUAAUUUUGUCUAUAAAUGAAAGUGUAAGCAUUCCACCUCAAGAGUAAUGUGGCAACGCAAAAACUGAAAUCAUUAGACCGUUUCUGAAACCAGUAGUGAACUAUGUUGUUUAAUUUGUAGGUACGCAAAGAACCUUACCACAAUUUGAAUAUUUAUUAAUUUAUAUUAUUUAAAUACAAAAUUUGCACGGCUGUCUUCAUUUAAUGUCGUGAGAUUUUGGUUAGUUCCAUA